UCCAUGAACAUAUCGUCGUCGGUUAGGAACUGAGGGGGCAGCCAAAACUCACCGUCGUCUAAACUCUCAGCCAUCUUUUGAGAAAUAACCCUAACAAAAAACAAUAGCAGCGGCAGCAGCAAGAACUGGAAAUAAGAGAACAAGUAAUGAUUUGAGCAAAUGGGGACGGUUUGCUGCUCAGUUAAGAUUUGAUAGCAACCCAGUUGGAUUCUUGCUGGAUUUGCAGUCUCGGGGUCCCAGUCAAAAAUAGAAUAACUUGCGCUUAACCAAAAAGAGCCCUCUCUAGUAGUAACGCAAAACCAGUGUAACCAAAUAACCAAAAAAGAAAAAAGAGGGGCGGGCGCUCUAAAUAAGGGAUCCUUGCUGUGCCCAGUUUAAAAAGAAGGAAAAUAUAGGGGGAGAGGAAGGAGAGAGUGUUCGCAAAUGUGUAAUGGUAUUUGUAGUGGGGGCCAAACAGAGUUGAUGCCAGGUAAGGUAAGUUAGUGGGGUCCUUUUGACUGGUUUUAGAAGGCACUUGUCUUGCAUGUGACAUUGCCCAGCAGAGUAGAGGUAUUUCAAAAGUUUGAUUAUUUUAUUUUAUUUUAUUUUUUUUGGGGGGGGGUUCGAGAGGAGGUAUGAGUUGUGAGUUAGUGGUGGGUUAAUAAUAAUAAUAAUAUAUCAUAUGGGUUAAUGGCGAUUUAUUAGGAUUUUAAUAAGUUGUGGCUACCAAAUCUAAAUCCAAGACGUGGGUACUCUUCUCCGCUAAUCCGCCAAUUAAUGGAAACAGACAUUUGUCCAUGUUUUCUGUCCACUUAGCUUCUUCCUCUUGCUAAAUGCUUUGCCGAAUGCCUAAUUUUUCCUAUGUUUAUACAGCAACAAAUAAAAAAAAAUUGAUGCAUA
rnacentral:lncRNA from 1 species